CCUACGGUGCGCAGCAGUGAGGAAUAUUGGUCAAUGGGCGGAAGCCUGAACCAGCCAAGUAGCGUGCAGGAUGACGGCCCUACGGGUGGUAAACUGCUGUUAUACGGGAAUAACGCGCCUUACGUGUAGGGCUUUGCAUGUACCGUAGGCAUAAGGACCGGCUAAUUACGUGCCAGCAGCCGCGGUAAUACGGAAGGUCCGGGCGUUAUCCGGAUUUAUUGGGGUUAAAGGGAGCGUAGGCCGCAUGUCAAGCGUGCUGUGAAAGGUCCGGGCUUAACCCGGGCCUUGCAGCGCGAACUGGCGUGCUUGAGUCCGCGGAAAGCAGGCGGAAUUCGUCGUGUAGCGGUGAAAUGCUUAGAUAUGACGAAGAACCCCGAUUGCGAAGGCAGCUUGCUGCAGCGGAACUGACGCUGAUGCUCGAAAGCGCGGGUAUCGAACAGGAUUAGAUACCCGAGUAGUC
rnacentral:rRNA from 1 species